rnacentral:rRNA from 1 species
UACGAAGGGGACUAGCGUUGUUCGGAAUCACUGGGCGUAAAGCGCACGUAGGCGGAUAUGUCAGUCAGGGGUGAAAUCCCGGGGCUCAACCUCGGAACUGCCUUUGAUACAGCAUAUCUUGAGUCCGAUAGAGGUGGGUGGAAUUCCUAGUGUAGAGGUGAAAUUCGUAGAUAUUCGGAAGAACACCAGUGGCGAAGGCGACUCACUGGACACGUAUUGACGCUGAGGUGCGAAAGCGUGGGGAGCAAACAGGG